CGAGUCCGUUGCCGACAGGAGGCCAACGAACCCAACGGCGUUCAGGAGUUUCGCGCGGUCGGUUAAGCGGCUCUGCAGUAAGCAGAGGCUGGGCUGCGAUCCCUUACGCAUCCCCGGGACCAGGAAAGGGAGCAAUGGAGGCGCCGGCGCCCCGCCGCUCGAGCCCUCCGCCUACGGCUCCAGCUCAGGACCCCCGACCACUUCGGGCCACGAGGAGACCUGGCCGUCGGGAGUAUUAAAAGCGCCCCGGCCUCUCGGAAAGUGCGGCCAAAGCCGAAAGCGACUGGUGUCGAGGAAGAAGGGGGUCGUUUCAGGCUGUGACAUGGAAGCAGUUUUCUCGAGGAAGAAAGACGAGUCUUACCGACCGUUCGGUGACAGCGCCUCAGUUCUGCCCAGCGUUCACUCUACAAGUGCAGUGAACACCUGUUAUGUGCAGCGAUCAAAGAGAUGAGACUGACCAGAGCCUUGCUGUCGAGGAACUGGGCAAACAAGAACCCACAGAGGCCCCAGGCCUCUAAAAUACAUCCCAGAGGUCGACAAAGGUGGUGCUUGGUUAAAAAGCAGCCAGAGAAGUGCAGAGCUCAUCAGGCUCUGAGCACCUGGCUUCCUGGGAAGGCGUCCCGGCUGCCGCAGUCCCCCUGCCAAGAGGGCUUCGGGGGCACCAAGGACGCCUGCUGACUGUACCCAGGUGAGCCCGGGGAGGCAGGAGGAGAGCCGCAGAAGGCACGGUGGUCUGCACCCCAUUUCUUCCCCCGCUGCGCACAGCCUGGCCUGCUGGUCCUGACUCAGAUGGCUUCCCGGAGCAGCUCCCUGGCAGUUGGACCUGGAAGGCUGGGCAGACUCCCACACGGUCCAGUCCCCACGCGCCCCCUGCCUUCCCUGGGCCCUGGACCAGGGAGCUCACAGCGCAGAGGACAAGACGGUGGCCUGUUGUCCCAGCACGUGGCAGCACCACAGAUCUGUUAUCUCCGUUUCUGGGGGUCGGGGAUCCAGCCAAGACAGGCAGGGGCUUCUGCCUCGAGGUCUCGCGAGGCUGCACCCGGGCAUCGGCGGGGACUGUGGCCCAUGCGCAGGCUCCACCUGGAGGGUCCAGGCUCACUCGGGGUCGUUGGCAGGAUUCGGUUCCUCGGUUCCUCAUGAGCUACUAGGGGAGCAUCAUCCUUGUCUGCAUUUUGCUGGAGGGCUCACUCCAUUCUUGGUCAAGUGAGCCUCUUCAGAGGGCAUCUCCCUACAAGGAGGGCGGCAGGCAUCUAGGGGAGCCGGCCCCGCAUGUAACGUGACAGGGAAGAAAGCACGCGUGAUGGGGAGACAGGCCCCCGUAACCCCACCUGCAAUGGCAGCUUGUCCUUCUGUGCCGUUAGAUUCAGCUCACCCUGGGGAGGGCCUCGCAGAGCGCUCGCCCAGUGGGGACCACUGGGGACCACACCCCCGCCCCACUCUGCACUCUUCCUACCGUCCCCCAGGCCUGGGUCUCCAGAGACGGUCAUACUGUGUCCAGUGUGACAAUUGUGUGUUUUUCUCUCGUUUUAGAAACUGUAGCCUGGGCCACCGCGCCCUGAGAUAGAUGUACCCAGAGAGUUGUAGGCUGCACUGUGGACACUGUUCUGUCCACGCCGCCCCUGCGUCAGCCCUCCCCGGGCCUCUGCUUACUAGGCUUUCCCGCCUCCUCCAUGACAGGAGCCGCUUUCCUUAAGCUCAGGAGUUGUUUGCAUUUUUAUCAGAGCAGGAUCAGGCCCCCAGUCUCCAGGGAGUGGAGCAGCAACAGGGGAAUCUGAGAAGGAAGCAGAGGGGCCCCCACAGGCCACACAGUCAAGGCUUGAACCACAGCUAAAUCUCAGUGUUGGUGAAACCCUGGGAAGGGCCGUUGCGGAGGCCUGGGUACCCCUGCUGCCCCAGGAGGCCGAGCCGGAGGGGCUGAGUGAUGCAGGGCGGGCCCCCGGGCGAACGGUGUCCCGACGCUGCAGCCACCCUGUCCCUGUCAGGUGUCCCCUGCCCAGGGCCCACCGGGAGCUGGCACAUUCGGCUGCUUUUCUGUUUGUGGGCUGUGUAAUAAACGGAAGCUAAAAAGGACUGGCUCUUUCUUUAGAGGCUAACCUGCCAACCUUGGCUGCCCGGGCGUGACAUGAUGGAAGGAAGGGGAGGGGAGGCGGGAAGGUGAGAGGAGGCGGGAAGAAGGGCCCCAGGCCCCGGCCCUCGCCACCCCUCCCCUGGGCCGGAGCCAGGUCCUGCUUUCUGGUCCUGCUUUUCCUCCUGGGGUUCCACCCAACCCCGUGGAGUUUGACCACUCCACUCCGGGGACACUG